UGAGUAAUAGAAAGGAGCUUCACAGCUUCACUUAAAAAUGGGGGUGCGGAACAUUAGUUAGUUGGUAGGGUAAUGGCCUACCAAGACGAUGAUGUUUAGCCGGGCCGAGAGGCUGUACGGCCACACUGGGACUGAGAUACGGCCCAGACUCCUACGGGAGGCAGCAGUAAGGAAUUUUCCACAAUGAGCGAAAGCUUGAUGGAGCGACACAGCGUGCAGGAUGAAGUUCUUCGGAAUGUAAACUGCUGUUAUAAGGGAAGAAAAAAUAGAAUAGGAAAUGAUUUUAUCUUGACGGUACCUUAUUAGAAAGCGACGGCAAACUAUGUGCCAGCAGCCGCGGUAAUACAUAGGUCGCAAGCGUUAUCCGGAAUUAUUGGGCGUAAAGCGUCCGUAGGUUUUUUGCUAAGUCUGGAGUUAAAUGCUGAAGCUCAACUUCAGUCCGCUUUGGAUACUGGCAAAAUAGAAUUAUAAAGAGGUUAGCGGAAUUCCUAGUGAAGCGGUGGAAUGCGUAGAUAUUAGGAAGAACACCAAUAGGCGAAGGCAGCUAACUGGUUAUAUAUUGACACUAAGGGACGAAAGCGUGGGGAGCAAACAGGAUUAGAUACCCUGGUAGUCCACGCCGUAAACGAUGAUCAUUAGUU
rnacentral:rRNA from 1 species